GGUGUGCCUGUAAUCCCAACACAUGGGAGCAUGAAGCAAGAGGUGCUCUGAGUUGGAAGCCAGCCUGGGCUAUAAGAAUCCCACAGAACAUCAGCUGGCCAAUACAUUACAAAAGCAAGCUCUUUGUGUUCAGAAGAGGGAAGAAAGAGGAAGAAUACUUAUUCUCAAAAGACAUCACCAUAUUUGGAAUCUCCAUGGUAAAAAUCAGAAUUUCUGGCUUCUCUUGAAAAUGUUGGCAUUCUGACAACCCGUGGCCUACAUUCCUACAUGGCAGCAGCUGGCCAAAGCAAAGUAAUUUCCUUCUUUAG